CCUACGGGAGGCAGCAGUGAGGAAUAUUGGUCAAUGGGCGAGAGCCUGAACCAGCCAAGUCGCGUGAAGGAUGAAGGAUCUAUGGUUUGUAAACUUCUUUUAUAUGGGAAUAAAGUGAGGAACGUGUUCCUUUUUGUAUGUACCAUAUGAAUAAGCUCCGGUUACUUCGGUCCCAGCACCGCCGGUAAUAGGGAGUAUUGGAGGGUUACCCGGUUUUAUUGGGUUUAAGGGGUGCGUAGGUGGAAUGCCAAGUCAGCGGUAAAAUCGCGGGGCUCAACCUCGCGCCGCCGUUGAAACUGGGGUUCUUGAGUGGGCGAGAAGUAUGCGGAAUGCGUGGUGUAGCGGUGAAAUGCAUAGAUAUCACGCAGAACUCCGAUUGCGAAGGCAGCAUACCGGCGCCCAACUGACGCUGAAGCACGAAAGCGUGGGUAUCGAACAGGAUUAGAUACCCCUGUAGUC
rnacentral:rRNA from 1 species